rnacentral:rRNA from 12 species
CGGAGCGUUCUGUAAGCGGAUGAAGGUGCAUUGAGAAGUGUGCUGGACGUAUCAGAAGUGCGAAUGCUGACAUGAGUAACGAUAAUGGGAGUGAAAAACUCCCACGCCGAAAGAUCAAGGGUUCCUGUCCAACGUUAAUCGGGGCAGGGUGAGUCGGCCCCUAAGGCGAGGCUGAGAAGCGUAGUCGAUGGGAAACGGGUUAAUAUUCCCGUACUUGAGUGUAGUGCGAAGGGGGGACGGAGCAGGCUAGGUCAUCCACGCGUUGGUUGUCGUGGUUCAAGCGAGUAGGCUGAGUGUUUAGGUAAAUCCGGACGCUCAUUAAGGCUGAGACGUGAUGACGGUGAUCCUACGGGAUCCGAAGUGAUUGAUGCCAUACUUCCAGGAAAAGCCUCUAAGCUCCAGCUACACUGAAACCGUACUCCAAACCGACACAGGUGAUCAGGUAGAGAAUACCAAGGCGCUUGAGAGAACUCGGGUGAAGGAACUAGGCAAAAUGGUGCCGUAACUUCGGGAGAAGGCACGCUGCUGGCGGUGAUCGGACUUGCUCCGUAAGCUGCUGGCAGUCGAAGAUACCAGGCCCCUGCGACUGUUUACUUAAAACACAGCACUCUGCAAACACGAAAGUGGACGUAUAGGGUGUGACACCUGCCCGGUGCCGGAAGGUUAAUUGAUGGGGUUAGCGUAAGCGAAGCUCUUGAUCGAAGCCCCGGUAAACGGCGGCCGUAACGAUAACGGUCCUAAGGUAGCGAAAU